GUGACGACGCAGUAAGGUUACUGGUAACUUCCGUUAUGAAGCACUAGGCUCCAGCUGAUGUGGGGGGCGGCUCUGCAGGACCCUGUGAGGGCAGAUUUCCCUGAGGUGUGAUGGCUCUGGAGGGACUACAACCGAGUGCGAUACAGUCACCUUGGCCUCUUCCAGCACAGCUGCAGAGGAAUGUGCUCAACCCCGAAUACAGCACUGGCAGGUUUUGCCAUAGGGUGCGCACACUCAGUAACUGGAGAGACGCCACAGGGAAGCCCUCUAGGACCACCAGAGAAGGCAUUUUCACGCUUAAGUUCUUAACAAUACACGGCAACCCUAAAGAGCUUGGAAACUAUUCAAAAUGUGGUCUCUCUGAGUGAAAUAGCAACCGAGGACACCCGGCGACUGAGAUUUCCUGCAGGUAGCACUUCCAAAGUGGCCUCCAUCAUAUUCUUCCAGUCUGUACG